AGAGUUUGAUCAUGGCUCAGGACGAACGCUGGCGGCGUGGAUUAGGCAUGCAAGUCGCGCGACGGACCUUCGGGUUACGGAGCGGCGAACGGGUGAGUAACACGUGAACAAUCUGUCCCCCCAUUCCGGAUAAUUGGUCGAAAGACCUUGUAAUACGGGCGAGGGUCAUUCUUAGGCAUCUGAGGAUGAAGGAAGGCGCAAGCCGUGCAAGGAGGAGUUCGCGGCCUAUCAGGUAGUUGGUGAGGUAAUGGCUCACCAAGCCGACGACGGGUAGCUGGUCUGAGAGGAUGGUCAGCCACAUUGGAACUGAGACACUGUCCAGACUCCUACGGGAGGCUGCAGUCGAGAAUCUUGGGCAAUGCACGAAAGCGUGACGGAGCGACGCCGCGUGUGGGACGAAGCCCUUCGGGGUGUAAACCACUGUCAGGGGUUACCAAGUUCUGAGGAGCCCCAGAGGAAGGCACGGCUAACUCUGUGCCAGCAGCCGCGGUAAGACAGAGGUGCCGAGCGUUAGGCGGAAUCACUGGGCUUAAAGCGUGUGUAGGCGGACCUCUAAGUACCUUGUGAAAUCCCACGGCUCAACCGUGGAACUGCUCGGUAUACUGGGGGUCUUGAGCCACCUAGGGGUCGUCGGAACAAGCGGUGGAGCGGUGAAAUGCGUAGAUAUCGCUUGGAACGCCAACGGUGAAAACAGACGACUGGGAGUGCGCUGACGCUGAGACACGAAAGCCAGGGGAGCGAACGGGAUUAGAUACCCCGGUAGUCC
rnacentral:rRNA from 1 species